rnacentral:lncRNA from 1 species
CUUGAUCAACAAACCCAAAAAGAAGAAAAUGGUGAAAAGAAAAAAAAAGCUGGAUAGAUCUCGAUGAUCGUUGAUUCUGAAGAAUGGCCGUUCGUCGAGGAUUCUUGAUAACCGUUGAUUCGUGAAGAAUACCCGAUAACAAGGAAGAUGAAAAAUAUAAAGUUUUUGAUACCACAAAGUGGUCCGGAUCAAAAACAAAACAUGCUCUGAUACCA